CCUACGGGGCGCAGCAGUGGGGGAUAUUGCACAAUGGGGGAAACCCUGAUGCAGCGACGCCGCGUGUGGGAAGACGGUCCUCUGGAUUGUAAACCACUGUCCCCAGGGACGAAGAUGACGGUACCUGGGGAGGAAGCUCCGGCUAACUACGUGCCAGCAGCCGCGGUAAUACGUAGGGAGCAAGCGUUGUCCGGAUUUACUGGGUGCAAAGGGCGUGCAGCCGGGCUGACAAGUCAGAUGUGAAAUCCCGCGGCCCAACCGCGGAACUGCAUUUGAAACUGUCAGUCUUGCGUACCGGAGAGGUC
rnacentral:rRNA from 1 species